GUCAGCUUACCUAAAGGCUAAACGUACUCCUAACUCAAAUUUAAGUAAUGUAUGAAAAAAUGUCACUUCAACAUCUAUAACUAUAUUCUAUAUCUUCUUAAUGAGCGCAAUGUCCAUUUAGCCUUUUUACCCACGAGUUACCCAUGUUUUACCCGCUUCCUAAUCGAAAUUACCUAUUCUACCUGACCCGUUUAGAAAAAAAUAACCGGCUACAUAACCGACUCCGACAGCUUACGAAAAUUGAUUGCUGAUUUAUUCUGUUGUCUGCUAAUUACGGCAUUCAUAUCUUCCAUCAUGGAAAGUGCAUGUAAUCAAGGAUGCAUAUUAGACUAUGAAUGUUAUUUUUCAAAAUUCAAACUGAAGUUAUUUGAUUGCUAUGGAAGAGUUCUUGUGUGGGUUCGUAGAGUGAUUUUUGGCAAGCGUCUCAUCGGCUAUGGAAGCAGCCAAUGAUUAAUUGGUCAAGCUCAGAUUUGUACAGAAGAGGCCUGAUCUUGCAAUAGUAUUUAUCGGGACUGUACUUUCCACCACCGUGAUUGCGAGGCUCAUGUAUUGUCUUUGAUGUGUAGGUCGUAAGAGAAAUAAAGAAAAUCAGUCAGAUGGUUCACUUGCUGGUAGGAUUUAUUUCUGCAAAGACGCGCUGAAAACAUUAAGAAAUCCAGGACCAUCGGGACUUCGUCAGCGUUUGACAAUAUCAGCUCAGGAAAAAAUGCCACGAGUCGUGUCCCUCUAUCAACUGUUGAUCAUAAUGAAUCCAAUCAAUAUGUAGGCAACAGUCAUUCUCCUCUUUCCAACAGUCGUCGGUAUUCGUUGGUUGCAGAAACCUGUGAAUCGGAUUAUGCUCUUAAAGCCACAGGUGGUGUCCUGCUAUCAACUGUUGACUAGAAUGCAUCAAAUCAAUCAAUCAGGCGUUCUCCGUUGUCCAAUAUUGAUCAAAAUGCAAAUCCUGGCUUUGUGUUGGAUUCUAUCGUCACAGGUCGAUAGCAAUUAAGCUGUGUUAGAUUUCAUUUUAAUUUUCCACCUUUAUAUCAUGGAUAUAAAUUUCUAUAUUUGUUGCUCACCGCGUUGAAAUAUGACUGAUGUUGAAAUUUGGAAUCAGGUGUCAAGCGUAGAGGUCCUGAUAAUAUUUUGCUUACAAUAUGCUCAAGGUUUUCUGUGUACUGGAUGCUACUCAGUGCCAAUCCUCACAACCAACUUUCUUAACGUAUUGUUCUCUCAUCUCCAGACCACACGAUCCUCCCAUCUUCUUUAUAAACAAGUAUAUAAUGUACAGUUUUCUUAAAUUUACCCGAUAUUAUUGAUGGCAUUGAUAAACUAACUAUAACCAGAAAACAGAUUUUUGAUUUAGCUAUGGGCUUUGGCCUUGAAAACCGAUGAUGAAAUUCAUGAUGAUAAUGUAGAACCUGUAGAUUUCUUGACUACUGAUGGGUUGCCUCAAGCAGAAGGAUUAAUCUAUUUUAAGUGUCAUGAUACAACAGAAGGAUAGGUUAGCAAAUAAUAGUUUUAUAACAAAGACACCUGCAAGAUUUUUAGACGAUACGAAGAUUUAGGCCUCAUGCACCCAGCAAGACAUCAUAUAAAUCAUUACUGCACAUAUGCAGUGACAAACAGUAUGAACACUGAGAAAGCUCAGAGAUCUAUACCAAGUUGUGCAGCAUUUUAUUGUCAUUCUUUGACACUUGACACCAAACAAAUACUAUACAAGACAAACAGAAACCAAGUCAGCCAUAUAGUGUAUUCUACAAAUUGAAUACAAAAUGCAUGAUCAUUUUCUGCAUAUAGGUCUCCUCUCAGGUGAUAACAUUUGCCGCUGAGUGAAAAGCAGGAGGCGGAACAUUUGAGGAGGUUUCUACUGGCGGUUCAGUACGUCGAAGUUUCCUUUUGCUCUGUCGAGGUUGAGCUUUCAGGCCCAGAUCUGAGCCUGCAGCAGGAUGUUUCCUUACUAUCUUCUGAGGCGGAACUGCACAUGUUUCAGUUGGGUCAGGAGAUGUACAAAGGAGUUUUCUGUUCUUUUCAAUAUUCAAGCAUCAGGCCUGCACCAAUUAAUACUAUUUGUUCAUUUGGCGAAGUGUUUGGGAGUCGAAGUCAGUUCUCUCCGCUGGCCUUAAAUGGUCAGUUUGAUCUGGGGAAAAUAUAAAAAUUUAUGGCCAACCUUGGCUGGGGAACGACUCUAAUCCUUAUAUUAUUUCAGAACCAAUGCCCCUGGAGAAUUUCAAGGUCUCUUCUCUGUUUUACAAUGGGAAUCAAGUUUGGAAUAUUGAGCUCAUAAGAGACAUGUUUGUUGCUCGGGAUCAAGAUUGUAUAAUAAACACAAAGGUACACGAGCAGGGUUCUGAGGAUCGCUUAUACUGGUGCAAGGAGACCUCAGGGGUGUACUCAGUUCGCAGUGCUUAUCGGCUUUUACAAGCUCAGAAAAAUUUAUGGCAAAGUCGUGAUAAUAUUAGUUUUUAGCGAAAGGUCUGGCGGGUUAAAGCUCCACCAAAAGUUCUCAAUCUUAUAUGGAGGGCUCUUUCUAAUAGUCUUCCAACUAAAAGCCAACUGGUCCAAAAAUUUGUGCCAAUUCUUAAUACAUGUCCUUUCUGUAAUACAGAGGAGGAAACAACUAUGCACGUGCUGGUGACUUGCCCUGUAGCUAAGCAAUGCUGGGUGGGUUUGUUACCAGUAAAUCAAGUUAAUGACGGUACUGAUUUUGGAACAUGGUUAGAAUGAGUGUUCCAACACAAUUCAAAUUAUCAAAAAGCGGAGAUUAUUACAUUAUGUUGGGCGAUUUGGAAAGCUCGAAAUGAGCUGGUUUGGGAUUAAAAGUAUCCUCACUUAGAUGCUAUUGUAGUGUCAGCAAUGCAGUAUCUUGGAAGUUGGAGAAAUGCCCAGGUUAUCAUUUCAUCAACUAUGUUUCCUAAUCUGUGUUCAGGGGAGGGAGCCAGUGCUUGGGUCAAGCCGCCGAUGUCAACAAUCAAGGUAACUGAGGAUGCUGCUACAUUUAAUUCUUUGAUGUGUAUCCCUCUCUUUCCAUGCUUUGAUGUGUCAGCUUUUAGACAUCAUAAAUCUUGACAACUAACCUAUACUAAGCAUACCAAUGAGUUUUUGUACACAGAUACACAUGUUGUAUCGACUAUUUUAGCUUGCAGGACAGAUGAGGCAAAUGUGUUUGGUAGGACUACUCAGAAUUCAUUUUACUACUUUUAUGACAAGGAUGGUCAUUCAAGAUCAAUGACAGUCUAAUAGUGAACCGCAAAUAGCAUAUCUAUUAAUGGCAAUACUACUAACUUCACUUCGAGUUUCUUCUCAUUCUUCAAGCAGAUGGAUAAACCGGAGAAAGUUGCUAAAGACAGGUUUUGGACCGGCAAUGAUGCUGCUUCUGGAGAUGUAGUCUCUCAUGUGCUGCUGCUGGUUAUAGCAAAUCGGAAGAGUUGUGUGCAACUGUGCAUUAAAUUUGUAUUCAUUCAUUUUAUGGUCGUAUAUUGAUUUCUAUUUUCCUUCAA